AUUGAACGCUGGCGGCAUGCGUAACACAUGCAAGUCGAACGGUGUUUGGUGCUUGCACCAGACAUAGUGGCGGACGGGUGAGUAAUGCGUAGGAAUCUGUCUUAGAGAGGGGGACAACCCGAGGAAACUUGGGCUAAAACCGCAUAUUCUCGAGAGAGGAAAGCAGGGGACCGGAAACGGCCUUGUGCUCUAAGGUGAGCCUACGUCGGAUUAGCUAGUUGGUAGGGUAAAAGCCUACCAAGGCGAUGAUCUGUAGCUGGUCUGAGAGGACGGACAGCCACACUGGGACUGAGACACGGCCCAGACUCCUACGGGAGGCAGCAGUGGGGAAUAUUGGACAAUGGGGGGAACCCUGAUCCAGCGAUGCCGCGUGUGUGAAGAAGGCCUGCGGGUUGUAAAGCACUUUCAGUGGGAAAGAGAAGCGUCUUGUGAAUAAUAGGGACGUGGAGACGUUACUCACAGAAGAAGCACCGGCUAACUACUGUGCCAGCAGCCGCGGUAAUC
rnacentral:rRNA from 1 species